CUUUCACCCACUUCCUCCCGGCCCCUCCCCCAGGACUACGCGGCGGGACCCGCACGUUGGGCCGCGGCGGUUGGAGGGCGCCGCUGCGGCGAGUACGGGCUCGUGUGUGUGUAUUCUAAUCUUUUUUAUUAUUUUAUAUAUCUAGUUGUAUGAGGGGUUGUUUUGGGGGCGGUUCGUGGCUCUGGAGCGCGGCCGCCGCGCGCGGAGGCGGUUGGAACCGUUGGGAUUCGACCGUUGGAACCGUUGGAAUUUGAACGCGCUGCGCCGCGGUUGCCUGGCAACGGCCCCGCCCUGCUCGUCUGAGGCGAGAACGGGGACCCCAGUCGGGGACCCCUCAGCCCGCUCCCGGCCUUCCCGGCUGCGGCAGGAGAUGCCCAGUGCAGGCCGCAGUCGCGGGACACGGUGGAAGAGGAGCCGUGCGUGCGGCAGGGAGAGAGGAGCCGCGGGGACGUGACUCUGGUCGAGCUGCUGAGACCUCGGCACGGUCUCUGCGCAAUGGGGUGGACGUAUGCGUGGCUCGUGGCACAGGGAGGUGGGAUGGUCUGCGUGGGGCUUUGUUGCGAGGGGAAAGUUGCUGUAAUGGUGGGAACGCCGCCUCGCACCGCGGAGUCCGCGCUACGUGCCUCACACACUUGACUGGGUGAUCACGUACUAAAUUUAGACUGGCCACAAGUGCAAAGUAACUAUCACACAAUGAACUGGUCAGUCGCACAGUAAUUGCCACACGGGCAAAGUAAUCGUUAGGGAUCUGGGUUCACCAUUUGCCACAGAAAAACAUGGUGAAACCAGACUUUUCUCAUUUUAAGGAGAACAACCUGGGGAAAGGUGGGUUUCCCCUUGCAGAUUGGCAGAGCUCCAGCCUGCGAGGGGCUGGGGGGAGCGGGAGGAGGGCAGUCAGGCAGGGGCACCAUGUGCAUGUACAUAUAUAUGUGCAUGUGGCCACCAGGCAGCAGUGGAGAGCAGCUCUCACAGGUAAAUCUGGGGGUGGGAUUGAGGCCCCUGUAGUAAGAGAGAGUUGGGCAGGGCUGGGCCUGCUGCCCAGCCAGGGUGGUGGCAGAGCCUGGGGCCAUGUGUGGCAGCAGGGCCUGGGCAGGGAGGGGGAUGGGCAGCCCAUCUAGGGGACAGCAGGGGGGGGCAGGCUGGGGGCUCCCUGCCCUGCUGCUCUCUGCCUGGGGCCUCUGCAGCCCAGCAAGUGGGGUCAGGUGUGGAGACUUGGUGCCGCUGCCAGGAGCCCCAUGCUAUCAUGCUAAGGCACCUCCUGCCUGCCCAGCAGCAGUGGGGGCGGUGGCACAGAGUUGUAGAGAGCGCCUUGCCAUGGUGACAUGGGGCUCCCAACACCAAGCCAAGCCUACCCCUCUCAGCUGUGCCACACUGGGUCCCGUCCACUAAGCUGCAGAGGCCCCAGGGGGAGGGCAGCAGGGAGGGGCACCCCCGAGGCUGCAGUGGGCAGCCUGCAUCCACCCCUGCCUCAUGGGCUCCACUCCAGCCAUGCUGCCUACAGGGGAGGGAGAGCUGGGAGCCAUGUUCCACUCGGUCUGCAGCGAUCUCUGUCUUCCUCAGGCAGCAGCCAGGGCAGCUAGGGGCCCCCACAGCGGGGCUGGGGAGGGCAGGUGGCUAUGGGUGGGGCUUGAGGGGCACCAGCAGGGCUGUGGGUUGGGAGUGAGGGGCAAUGGCAUGGACAGGACACCAGCAUAUUAGGGCUGCUCAGUGCCAAGCAGCAGUGGGGUGGGUAGCUGCAGCUGGACCUGUGUCCUGGUGAGCAAAGGUGGCAGGGAGAGCUCUAAUUUUCUAUGAUAAAAUCAAGCACCAAAAUUUAUAGGUAUUUAAGAUUUAUUUUAUUAUAGUGAUUGAGGCACUGGUAGGCUUCCAAUUUGCUUAAAAAACAGGACCAAGUGGCUUUAGAGAGAAAUUAAAAUUGGGUAUUAGGGGGAAAGGAAAUCAACUUUGUGGGUAAUCUGUUGCCAUGCCUAACUAUCUUAAGAGGCUGAGCAGUUCCCUUACAAGUUUUCAAGAUAAACAAGUUUUCAGGUUAAACAAACAUUUGGAUUGGUUUUAGACAGGGCUGAUCCUGCCUUGAGCCAGGGACUAGGGGUAAGCGAUGAAAGUAGCACAGGCUUAAACACGACUGUGGGCCUUUAGCUCACAGCUCAGUCAUCAUAUAAUCCUUUGCAGCACCUGGGCAAGUCAUGAGACCUCCACAUACCUUGGGCAAAAUGAGAAAGUGACAUCAUCUGUAAAUUGCCUAGCUCUAUGAAGUAAAAGUAUUACAUAGGCAUUUAGAGCCUACAUAAUAUUUUGGAAGAGUCUAAACUGGUUCAAUCACUAACUUUAGGGACUUUUUAAAAUCAAUUAUCUCCCAUUUAUAUGUUUAAGCACUUGUAUACAUUUGAAAGUCUGACACAGGGUCUGUGAAUCUUGUUAUGUACAUUUAAUAGCACCAAAAAACAAAAAAACAACAAAGCUGGGGGAAGCCUUGUUUAUUCUUUGGAUCAGACCCAGUCUAGAAGUGUAUUUUUCUUAAGUGCAAAAGUUUCCAUAUGAGGAAGCAGUGCUGUGGAUCCAAGGCAUACAUCUCUCAGGUCUUGGCCAGGGUACAAAACAUGGCAGCAUUUGCUGUUACUGGCUCUUUGGCCACCUGUACAAUUACAGGGUACGCGUCUGCAGCUUGCCUAGGAUGUUUUCCUCCCAACUCUUAAAGAGAGCAGGAUGUUUCCAGCAGACUAGGAUUUGGGGAAUGGGGAACAAAAAAUUAAUUGCUUCAAAUUUCAAUAUAGAGUGAUGGUUUUAGCAAGUGUUUCAGAUUUAAGGCAAGCAAGAAUUUUGUUUAACAGGUUGUAUCUCAGGUAGCUUGAAUCAUGUAAGAAAAUGGGAUACCUAGCUUUCCAGAUAAAAUCUGAUUAUAAUUUAAAAAAAAAAAAAAAAAAAAUCAGUCAUCAUUUAGAUUAGGAACAUGGGUCAGAAAACUAGUGCGUGCAUCAAUGCCAUACUUGCCAUGUGACAGAGAAGAACUGCUUUCUUCAUGCCUGUGCUCUAGCAAGGAUCAUGUCCCAGUAAAUCACUAUUGAUUGUGUAUUUUUAAAAUCUGAAGAAUACAAAAAGUUAGGAAAACAGUAUCACUUGUAAUAACUGCAGCCUUCUCCAGUUUUCUGCUUGAGGUUGAUUGAUUACAUUGAGUCUGCCAUCAAUGAUAACUUUAAGGGUACCAAAAUAGUCAUUUUUUUGUUUUUUACUGGUGCUAGUUUGCUGUACUAAUGCUUCCUUUUCUAAGAUGGAGUUGUGAAAUUUGAAUAGCGGGGUAACUGAAUUUAAUAUUUCUUGCCGUUCAGUAGAUAUUGUUGGGAUUCAUUUGCCAGGCAAUCUUGAAACAAGCCACUUCCUGUACUAGCCGCAAAUGUUCAUGAAGGAAAAAGAGGAAUUUGGUUUUAAACAUAGAGCACAUGGCCAUGCACAACUAUAAGUAUGACUGCAAAUGUUAUUUUCAGAUCUAUUAGAUGCUCCCAUUGUGGAUCCUAUUUUAAUAGCCUCAAAAUGCACAUUACCAUCGGUGGUAUUUAGUCUGCAAAAAAGAAGGUGGGGGAAGAGGAACGAAGGAAGGGGAAGGAAGUAUUGACAACAGUUUUCAAAUAUAUAAAGGGCAGUUAUAUAGGAGGAGGGUGUUAGACUAUUAUCUGUGGUUUCAAGGUACAGGGCACAGAGUAACAAUCUUAAAUUGCACCAUAGGAAACUUAAGUUGGAUAUUAAGAGAACUUUCUUACUCUGACAGUGGUUAAACAUUGGAGCAGGUACCCAGAUAGAUUGAGGAAUCUUUGAACUUGCAAGUUUUUAAGAGCAGGUUAGACUAACAUUUGUGUAUGAUGCUAGAGAGAAAGAGAGAGAUAGCCCUAUUAGUCUGAAUUCAGGCAGAAGGCAGGACAGGGUGGCACCUUAAAGACAAAUCCAGAGAGAAUCUUUUUUAGGUAACAGCCUAGUCAGAGAUGAUCCUGCCUUGAGCAGGGUGAUUGGACUAGAUCAUUGUUUCUCAGCCCAUGGGUCGUGACCCAAAAGUGGGUUGCAAGAAUAUAUAAGAGGGUCGUGAACAAACUUUAAAAUUGGAUUCUCCCUUAAAAAGAGAAAAAAAUGUGAGAAACUAUGGCUUUUCCCUUGCAGACUGUCAAGAGUUGCAGUCUGCAAGGAGCUGCUUGGGCAUCCCUCUCCUUCACACACACUCCUCCCUGCCCCACACACUAGGAGUCUGGGGGUGGGGGGCAGUGGGUUGGGACUGGCCAAAUGUUUACAAAUGGGUCCUGGUAUGAAAACGUUUGAGAACCGCUGGAGUAGAUGACCUCCUGAGGUCCCUUCAAGGCCUACUUCUCCAUGAUUCUGUAUGGGAAAGCUAUAUCAGCAUAUUUUCAGCUCUUUUCAGAGCAGCAACAUGUACUUUGUCCCUGGAGGAGAAAGAUUUACCUCCUGCUGCUCUGUAUUUCAUCUCCCUCUCCCACUGGGUUACUAUAUCUCUGCUGAGCCGAGGGAGAAAUACCAUCCUCGUGGAAACAGCAGUUCUUCCAGCUUAUCUGAAGGGUUCUGCAGUCCAAUGUAUGCACUCUUGAGUUUUUAAUUAUUGUACAAUACUUCACUCACAUGGAAGUCACUUCCAGUGACUUAAAUAGUGUUUUGUAUCUUACCUUUGAUGGUACAGUCAUAGGUAAAAGCUUUCAGUUGGAUCAUUUGUUACUGUUCAAAGUGUUCUGAAGUCCUCAACUGGAAGCUACUGUUGAAAAGCAAAUAACUACUACUACAUUCUCAGGGUUGUCCAAAAAGUUGCAACUUAAUUUAUUCAAAAUUAUUUAUUUCACAAAUUUUUAUCCACAGCUGAAUAUUACAGUAACCAUUACAAGCAUUUUCCUAUAAACAAAGGUGUAGUUUACAGAUUGUUCAAAAUGGAAAAAAUAUUAUUUUAUCAGCAGUAGUAUUUCAUCUACACUAUCAGGAUUCACCCUCAAGUACCAUUCGACUUCCUUCAGAGCAGCUGUUCCUUCUGCUUAAGGUAAUGAGACUUCACAACAAAAAAUAGGUCUUACAUUAGUAUUAGAGCGCAUUUUUUUUGGAUAGUUUUUCAAACUCCACUGAAAUUUAAAAAAGGAAAGUUUGUAUUUACUGGCACUUGUACUUUUAAAGAAGAAAUUCUGUAAACUUGAGGAGAGUAUAUUCUCUCAGGUGUUUCACUAACAUUCACUCUUAUCAUUUCAGAAAGAAAAUGUUUAGUUAUGGUUAUUAUAUGCAAUUCAAUAAGAGUAGAAGUGAAGGUUUAUGGUGCUUCAUGCAAUUCACUUUAAUUAGAUUGGCACAUUUAAGUGCAGUCAAACUCAUCUCAAUUCUAAACUGUGCAAUUAUGUCAGUCUGACAAGAACAAAAGUUUAUAUAGUCAGGUAAUGGGUUUAUACUGAACAGGGAAGAAAACAUAACCUAGUGUUUGCAGAUCUUACUUGUACUGUACAAAAUGAAGGCUGGAUCUUGGAAAUGCUUAGAGAAGAGCUUAACUACACUGGGUUUGAUUCUCCACUUUGUUGCACAGGUCUCACAAGGAGACAAUCAGUCCAGGGACUACUCAGGUAAGUUAUUUUACGUGGGGGAGGGUUACAAUUCUCUUGUCCUUACUCAUAUGCAGGCAAGUAGUCCCAUUGGAUUUAGGGGAGUAAUUCAGUAAGCAGAAGAGUCCUGCAAGAGCAGGAGCUGCACAGUUUAGUUCUACAAGCUGAUGUUCUUUCCCUAAAGCAUGGUAUAACCAUGACCAGUAGCUAAGAAGAGCAAUUACAAAAAAUGCAAAUGAAAGGAAGAGGAACUGAAGCAACUUUCAGACUAAAAUAAAUAUUUUGGAAGUUGUCCUGGAUGUCUUAGGAAUGUCUCAAGCACAGACUACACAGCACAGAAUGCACGCAUGAAGCCAUGUGUAUAGUCAGAUAUUUCAGAGUUAUUUUCAUAUUAAAUAGUAAACAUUUCCUUGGAGAUUAGGAACAUCAUCCUCAGAAAUGCGAGUCAUGCAGAAAUCAAUGUGUCCAGUAAUGUUUCUUCUGUGAGCUCCAAACACGGUCGCAAGCCUUUCCAGUGUAAUAUUUUAUAAGCAUAUUUAUAAAUGUACAGACAAUUCUUACGAUUAAAAAUCUUCCCACAGUUUAACACGUUUCAGAGAAACGGUGAUUAAGAAGUCACAGUUACCUUAGUAACAGCUAAAAGGCACACAGUGGGAAAGUGCUCAACUUAACCAUUAAAGGCAAAUCCAAAAAGCAAAGUUCUCAAAGCCAUGCUCUCAUUUUGAACAGCUCUUUACAUUGAAAAGAAAUGUCCAAUUUUUAAGGAAGAAAGAAAGCAUUCUGAACACAGCAAUAUUAGCUUUUUAUAGAAAAAGCUGCAAGAUAUUUAAAAAAUUGCUAACAGAAAAGAUCAUGUAUAUUUUAAGAUAUUUGCUACAGAAUCCUCUUCCAAAUGCAACUUCUUGGAUAGAUUAUUACAAAUCAAAACAUCAAAUCCCAGUUCCUAUUUCUAAACUAAUAGCUUGUAAGAGAUUCUUGUUAUAAUAUCUUUAAAUUAUGUUCCUCACAACUUCCAGCUGAAGACUUGUGCCCUUAACUACAUUUCAUACCCAUGAUUAGUAUCAAGAUGAUUGUAGAAGAGGAUUCUGCAGCUUUCUUUCCUUUAGUUUAAUUGAUGAGCAUUAAGUUCUAUGAAUCCCUUGGGAGUUCUGCAAAUUUACAGCAGUAGAGAGAGGUAGAGAGACCUGAAGAGCCUGAGAGGAAACUGCUGGCCUAAAAUGAAUUGUGAGAAUAGCAUGUGUGUCACCAUCUCACUAAAUUUUGCUUCUGGAUUAUUUCAUUUCAGUGAGGAAAUGAGUUCAUUUCCAGAAAAGAGGAUAGGAUCUGUUUGCAAACUAAAAUGCAAUGAAAAUUUUAACACUUGAAGAGGUAGCUACAAUAAAUAAAAAGGCUACUGUAGACAGGGAUUGGACAGUGAGAAAGUGGGUUUGCUGAGCUACAGGCAGCAAUCUGGUAGCGUGACCCUACUGUAUAUGGGAAGGAGAUGCACUACUGAAUAUAUACAGUAGAUGCAAAGGGUCACAGAGCGUAAUUUGGAGGUAGCAAUGGUACUGUACAGGCAAAAAAAAAUUAUGCUCUAUUAUGAAUAGUGGGUAUAGGAAAAAGUUACUCCUCUCCCUGUUAACUGGUUUAACUAUAUCUUUCACUGGUCAAAGCUAUACGAAACCAUAGUUUUCUGUUUGAGAGCAGGAAUUUACUGUAGACGUAGUCCAAUACAACUUUUCACAGCACUCGUUUCUUGUUUAAAAUGUGCUUUUGAUAGCAAUAUACAUAUAUAGUACAUACAGGACUAUUAUAGUGUGUGUAUAUACAUAAUUAUAUACAUAAUGUUCAAAUUAAAACAUUUCUUCUCUAAAAGAAGACUGGUAUCCUUCUGGGUGUGAUGCAUGGUUACAAGAUGCUACAUUUUUUUCUAAUGCCCUGGGUUGGCUGGAUACUUAACAACAACUUUGCUAGUUGAAUAUGAUUUACACCAACUAAAAAUAGUGUGAAAAAUUCAAAGAGGCCUUUGUGAAAGCACUUAGUCAUCAUGGAAUUGCUGAGGUGCUAAAGGAACUAUCUGCAAAGCAAGCAAGUUACCUAAUUGGGAGUACUAUGGAGGUGAAAAAGCUCAAACUCUCAUAGUUCUAAGACCACUUUGAAGGUGGCAAGUGGCUUAGCUUCAGUUUGCAAGCUGGAAAAGUUAGAAGCGGGGAGAAAAAAGGUUACUACUUUCAUGCUGCAAGGUCAUAAUUUGCAAACAACUGCCAUUGUCAGGUAACACAAUCGUUGCUACUAUACAACUGUUUACCUUUGAUGUGUUCUUCUGGCCAGGGUGGCAUUUCCAGUGACACUGGGAAUUAAAAAUCAAACAGAUUUGUACACUGAAAGUGAUCAGCGAAUGCUUUAGAAAUAGCAGACUUCUAAUGAACAAUAGGGAGAGGCAGCCUUUUGUAUUGUUGAUUUAAAGUCCUAUUGGUUAUAAAUACUUAACUAAAGAUCUUAUGUUUUAAAAGAUUUGUACCAAUUUUAUUAAUAAAAAUUUAAGAUCACUGGUCA